rnacentral:rRNA from 1 species
AUGUUUCUCGUUUAUGGAGGUGACAAAGAGCUCGUCGUAAAUGGUUACGUCGAUGCAAGCUUUGACACUGAUCUGGACAAUUAUAAAUCGCAAACCGGAUACGUGUUUAUAUUGAACGGUGGAGCUGUUAGUUGGAGCAGUUCUAAACAAAGCAUCAUGGCGGGAUCUAUGUGUGAAGCAGAGUACAUAGCUGCUUCAGAAGCAGCAAAUGAAGGAGUCUGGAUGAAGGUGUUCAUAUCCGAUCUAGGUGUCAUACCUAGUGCAUCGGGUCCAAUGAAAAUCUUUUGUGACAAUACUGGUGCAAUUGCCUUGGGAAAGGAAUCCAUAUUUCACAAGAGAACCAAGCACAUCAAGAGACGCUUCAAUUCCAUCCGGGAUCAAGUCCAGGUGGGAGACAUGGAGAUUUUCAAGAUACAUACGGAUCUGAAUGUUGCAGACCCGUUGACUAAGCCUCUUCCAUGA